GACGAACGCUGGCGGCGUGCUUAACACAUGCAAGUCGAACGGAAAGGCCCUGCUUUUGUGGGGUGCUCGAGUGGCGAAAGGGUGAGUAACACGUGAGUAACCUGCCCUUGACUUUGGGAUAACUUCAGGAAACUGAGGCUAAUACCGGAUAGGAGCUCCUGCUGCAUGGUGGGGGUUGGAAAGUUUCGGCGGUUGGGGAUGGACUCGCGGCUUAUCAGCUUGUUGGUGGGGUAGUGGCUUACCAAGGCUUUGACGGGUAGCCGGCCUGAGAGGGUGACCGGCCACAUUGGGACUGAGAUACGGCCCAGACUCCUACGGGAGGCAGCAGUGGGGAAUAUUGCACAAUGGGCGGAAGCCUGAUGCAGCAACGCCGCGUGCGGGAUGACGGCCUUCGGGUUGUAAACCGCUUUCGCCUGUGACGAAGCGUGAGUGACGGUAAUGGGUAAAGAAGCACCGGCUAACUACGUG
rnacentral:rRNA from 1 species